UACGUAGGGUGCGAGCGUUGUCCGGAAUUAUUGGGCGUAAAGAGCUCGUAGGCGGUUUGUUGCGUCUAUCGUGAAAACCUGCAGCUUAACUGUGGGCUUGCGGUGGAGUACGGGCAGACUUGAGUUCGGUAGGGGAGACUGGAAUUCCUGGUGUAGCGGUGAAAUGCGCAGAUAUCAAGGAGGAACACCGGUGGCGAAGGCGGGUCUCUGGGCCGAUACUGACGCUGAGGAGCGAAAGCGUGGGGAGCGAACAGG
rnacentral:rRNA from 1 species